UAUACUCUUUUGCUUAACAAGAAGCUAUUAUUAUACCUAAAAUCUGGGUUUGUCUCCUGUCCUACUUGGGUGCCUGAUGAUUUUAGAUGAAAAAGAUUUCCUUUCUCUUAGUAGUCCCUUGUUUCCACUGGAGUUAAAGUUUAUAGAUACCAUUUUCUCCUAUGGCUGCAUUUUAUUGGAUUGUUAAUCUACAUCCAGUUUCAAAUGUCUGAAAGCUCUGUGACCCGAUGAACACGUUUACAUACCGUUGCCAGUCGCUCAUUUACAUACCGUUGCCUUGGCUCAUUUACACCUGCCAAAAGAUGAAUGAACACAAAUGCUUUCCAAAGGAUUAUCUGCAAAUGAUCCAAAAAUGUCUUUAUUAUGAAAAACGAGUUUGAAUCCAAUCUUAUCUGCGAAUUUUAUUACCUUUCUUCAAUGUUGAGAGCAACUUUUUGUGAGAGCAACUGGCUGAGGCUUAAAUAUGGGUUUUUUUUUUCAAAAAAGUUCUUGGUGUUUCCCAAUCAUAUACCAUCUUAUGUCAUCAAAUCAUGCCAUUUCUUCUUCCUGGACUGCUUUUGAAAGAUAAUGCAUCCUUCAAGCUUUACUGAGGUGCAAACAAGAAUUGGUCACUCUGUCCUUCAACUUAUCCGACUACCACCUGCUCCACCCACCCCAGCAUGUGGUCUACACACCCCUUUCAUGGUGUAUUUUCUUGUGUUUCUAGCUUGUAUA